rnacentral:rRNA from 1 species
AAUCCAUAGGUUAAUGAGGCGAACCGGGGGAACUGAAACAUCUAAGUACCCCGAGGAAAAGAAAUCAACCGAGAUUCCCCCAGUAGCGGCGAGCGAACGGGGAGGAGCCCAGAGCCUGAAUCAGCAUGUGUGUUAGUGGAAGCGUCUGGAAAGGCGCGCGAUACAGGGUGACAGCCCCGUACACAAAAGCGCAUGUGCUGUGAGCUCGAUGAGUAGGGCGGGACACGUGGUAUCCUGUCUGAAUAUGGGGGGACCAUCCUCCAAGGCUAAAUACUCCUGACUGACCGAUAGUGAACCAGUACCGUGAGGGAAAGGCGAAAAGAACCCCGGCGAGGGGAGUGAAAAAGAACCUGAAACCGUGUACGUACAAGCAGUGGGAGCCCCACCACUAAGCCAGUGGUGAACUCCACAUACGCAUCCUUUGCUGAGGAUACGGUUAACGGAGCGAAAGCGACGUUCAACCGCAAAACAAGCAGAGGGGGCUUAGUGGUGGGGUGACUGCGUACCUUUUGUAUAAUGGGUCAGCGACUUAUAUUCUGUAGCAAGGUUAACCGUAUAGGGGAGCCGGAGGGAAACCGAGUCUUAACCGGGCGUUAAGUUGCAGGGUAUAGACCCGAAACCCGGUGAUCUAGCCAUGGGCAGGUUGAAGGUUGGGUAACACUAACUGGAGGACCGAACCGACUAAUGUUGAAAAAUUAGCGGAUGACCUGUGGCUGGGGGUGAAAGGCCAAUCAAACCGGGAGAUAGCUGGUUCUCCCCGAAAGCUAUUUAGGUAGCGCCUCGUGAAUUCAUCUCCGGGGGUAGAGCACUGUUUCGGCUAGGGGGCCAUCCCGGCUUACCAACCCGAUGCAAACUGCGAAUACCGGAGAAUGUUAUCACGGGAGACACACGGCGGGUGCUAACGUCCGUCGUGAAGAGGGAAACAACCCAGACCGCCAGCUAAGGUCCCAAAGUCAUGGUUAAGUGGGAAACGAUGUGGGAAGGCCCAGACAGCCAGGAUGUUGGCUUAGAAGCAGCCAUCAUUUAAAGAAAGCGUAAUAGCUCACUGGUCGAGUCGGCCUGCGCGGAAGAUGUAACGGGGCUAAACCAUGCACCGAAGCUGCGGCAGCGACACUCAGGUGUUGUUGGGUAGGGGAGCGUUCUGUAAGCCUGUGAAGGUGUGUCGUGAGGCAUGCUGGAGGUAUCAGAAGUGCGAAUGCUGACAUAAGUAACGAUAAAGCGGGUGAAAAGCCCGCUCGCCGGAAGACCAAGGGUUCCUGUCCAACGUUAAUCGGGGCAGGGUGAGUCGACCCCUAAGGCGAGGCCGAAAGGCGUAGUCGAUGGGAAACGGGUUAAUAUUCCCGUACUUGGUGUUACUGCGAAGGGGGGACGGAGAAGGCUAUGUUGGCCGGGCGACGGUUGUCCCGGUUUAAGCGUGUAGGUGUGUGUUCCAGGUAAAUCCGGUUCACUUUAACACUGAGGCGUGAUGACGAGGCACUACGGUGCUGAAGCAACAAAUGCCCUGCUUCCAGGAAAAGCCUCUAAGCAUCAGGUAACAUCAAAUCGUACCCCAAACCGACACAGGUGGUCAGGUAGAGAAUACCAAGGCGCUUGAGAGAACUCGGGUGAAGGAACUAGGCAAAAUGGUGCCGUAACUUCGGGAGAAGGCACGCUGACACGUAGGUGAAGUGAUUUACUCAUGGAGCUGAAGUCAGUCGAAGAUACCAGCUGGCUGCAACUGUUUAUUAAAAACACAGCACUGUGCAAACACGAAAGUGGACGUAUACGGUGUGACGCCUGCCCGGUGCCGGAAGGUUAAUUGAUGGGGUCAGCGCAAGCGAAGCUCCUGAUCGAAGCCCCGGUAAACGGCGGCCGUAACUAUAACGGUCCUAAGGUAGCGAAAUUCCUUGUCGGGUAAGUUCCGACCUGCACGAAUGGCGUAAUGAUGGCCAGGCUGUCUCCACCCGAGACUCAGUGAAAUUGAACUCGCUGUGAAGAUGCAGUGUACCCGCGGCAAGACGGAAAGACCCCGUGAACCUUUACUAUAGCUUGACACUGAACAUUGAGCCUUGAUGUGUAGGAUAGGUGGGAGGCUUUGAAGCGUGGACGCCAGUCUGCGUGGAGCCGACCUUGAAAUACCACCCUUUAAUGUUUGAUGUUCUAACGUGGACCCGUGAUCCGGGUUGCGGACAGUGUCUGGUGGGUAGUUUGACUGGGGCGGUCUCCUCCUAAAGAGUAACGGAGGAGCACGAAGGUUGGCUAAUCCUGGUCGGACAUCAGGAGGUUAGUGCAAUGGCAUAAGCCAGCUUGACUGCGAGCGUGACGGCGCGAGCAGGUGCGAAAGCAGGUCAUAGUGAUCCGGUGGUUCUGAAUGGAAGGGCCAUCGCUCAACGGAUAAAAGGUACUCCGGGGAUAACAGGCUGAUACCGCCCAAGAGUUCAUAUCGACGGCGGUGUUUGGCACCUCGAUGUCGGCUCAUCACAUCCUGGGGCUGAAGUAGGUCCCAAGGGUAUGGCUGUUCGCCAUUUAAAGUGGUACGCGAGCUGGGUUUAGAACGUCGUGAGACAGUUCGGUCCCUAUCUGCCGUGGGCGCUGGAGAACUGAGGGGGGCUGCUCCUAGUACGAGAGGACCGGAGUGGACGCAUCACUGGUGUUCGGGUUGUCAUGCCAAUGGCACUGCCCGGUAGCUAAAUGCGGAAGAGAUAAGUGCUGAAAGCAUCUAAGCACGAAACUUGCCCCGAGAUGAGUUCUCCCUGAGACUUAGAGUCUCCUGAAGGAACGUUGAAGACGACGACGUUGAUA